rnacentral:rRNA from 1 species
CCAGCCGCCGCGGGAACACCGGCGGCCCGAGUGGUGAUCGUGAUUAUGGGUCUAAAGGGUCCGUAGCCGGUUGGUCAGUCCUCCGGGAAAUCUGAUAGCUCAACUAUUAGGCUUUCGGGGGAUACUGCCAGACUUGGAACCGGGAGAGGUAAGAGGUACUACAGGGGUAGGAGUGAAAUCUUGUAAUCCCUGUGGGACCACCUGUGGCGAAGGCGUCUUACCAGAACGGGUUCGACGGUGAGGGACGAAAGCUGGGGGCACGAACCGGAUUAGAUACCCGGGUAGUCCCAGCCGUAAACGAUGCUCGCUAGGUGUCAGGCAUGGCGCGACCGUGUCUGGUGCCGCAGGGAAGCCGUGAAGCGAGCCACCUGGGGAGUACGGCCGCAAGGCUGAAACUUAAAGGAAUUGGCGGGGGAGCACAACAACGGGUGGAAGCCUGCGGUUUAAUUGGACUCAACGCCGGACAACUCACCGGGGGCGACAGCAAUAUGUAGGCCAAGCUGAAGACUUUGCCUGAAUCGCUGAGGGGAGGUGCAUGG